CCUACGGGGGGCAGCAGUAGGGAAUCUUCCACAAUGGGCGAAAGCCUGAUGGAGCAACGCCGCGUGGGUGAAGAAGGUCUUCGGAUCGUAAAACCCUGUUGUUAGAGAAGAAAGUGCGUGAGAGUAACUGUUCACGUUUCGACGGUAUCUAACCAGAAAGCCACGGCUAACUACGUGCCAGCAGCCGCGGUAAUACGUAGGUGGCAAGCGUUAUCCGGAUUUAUUGGGCGUAAAGGGAACGCAGGCGGUCUUUUAAGUCAGAUGUGAAAGCCUUCGGCUUAACCGGAGUAGUGCAUUGGAAACUGGGAGACUUGAGUGCAGAAGAGGAGAGUGGAACUCCAUGUGUAGCGGUGAAAUGCGUAGAUAUAUGGAAGAACACCAGUGGCGAAAGCGGCUCUCUGGACUGUAACUGACGCUGAGGUUCGAAAGCGUGGGUAGCAAACAGGAUUAGAUACCCCUGUAGUC
rnacentral:rRNA from 1 species